rnacentral:misc_RNA from 1 species
AACGCACAUUGCGCCCCCCAGCAUUCUGGGGGGCAUGCCUGUUCGAGCGUCAUUUCAACCCUCAAGCACUGCUUGGUGUUGGGGCACUGCCCGAGAACCGCCCCCGGGCGGGCGGCGGCAGGCCCCCAAAUACAGCGGCGAGCCCGCCGGGACCCCGAGCGCAGUAGUCUCUACCACCUCGCUCCGGGCGGACCGGCGGUCCCCUGCCGUAAAACCCCCAAGAACCCCCCGGCCCGCGUCCAUAUGCGGAGGGGGGAAAAGACAAAAGGUUGACCUCGGAUCAGGCAGGAAUACCCGCUGAACUUAA